rnacentral:snRNA from 1 species
AUUUAGUCACGGGAUCCAAACACGCCCUAAGAUCAAGUGUAGUAUCAGUUUAAUAUCUGAUAUGUGGGCCAUGCAUCCACUUCGAUAUUAAAUUUAUUUUUUGUGGGGAGGGCCCACCACACUGGGGCUCUCGAGCGUAGCCGAGGCGUUGCACUGCUGCCUCGGCCUGCCGCACCCCAA